rnacentral:rRNA from 1 species
UUGACCUCGGAUCAGGUAGGGAUACCCGCUGAACUUACAACAGGGAUUGCCCUAGUAACGGCGAGUGAAGCGGCAACAGCUCAAAUUUGAAAUCUGGCGUCUUUGGCGUCCGAGUUGUAAUUUGCAGAGGGCGCUUUGGCAUUGGCAGCGGUCCAAGUUCCUUGGAACAGGACGUCACAGAGGGUGAGAAUCCCGUACGUGGUCGCUAGCCUUUACCGUGUAAAGCCCCUUCGACGAGUCGAGUUGUUUGGGAAUGCAGCUCUAAAUGGGAGGUAAAUUUCUUCUAAAGCUAAAUACUGGCCAGAGACCGAUAGCGCACAAGUAGAGUGAUCGAAAGAUGAAAAGCACUUUGGAAAGAGAGUUAAAAAGCACGUGAAAUUGUUGAAAGGGAAGCGCUUGCAGCCAGACUUGCCUGUAGUUGCUCAUCCGGGUUUUUACCCGGUGCACUCUUCUAUAGGCAGGCCAGCAUCAGUUUGGGCGGUUGGAUAAAGGUCUCUGUCAUGUACCUCUCUUCGGGGAGAACUUAUAGGGGAGACGACAUGCAACCAGCCUGGACUGAGGUCCGCGCAUCUGCUAGGAUGCUGGCGUAAUGGCUGUAAGCGG